rnacentral:rRNA from 1 species
GAUGAACGCUGGCGGCGUGCCUAAUACAUGCAAGUCGAGCGAACAGACGAGGAGCUUGCUCCUCUGACGUUAGCGGCGGACGGGUGAGUAACACGUGGAUAACCUACCUAUAAGACUGGGAUAACUUCGGGAAACCGGAGCUAAUACCGGAUAAUAUAUUGAACCGCAUGGUUCAAUAGUGAAAGACGGUUUUGCUGUCACUUAUAGAUGGAUCCGCGCCGCAUUAGCUAGUUGGUAAGGUAACGGCUUACCAAGGCAACGAUGCGUAGCCGACCUGAGAGGGUGAACGGCCACACGGGAACUGAGACACGGUCCAGACUCCUACGGGAGGCAGCAGUAGGGAAUCUUCCGCAAUGGGCGAAAGCCCGACGGAGCAACGCCGCGUGAGUGAUGAAGGUCUUCGGAUCGUAAAACUCUGUUAUUAGGGAAGAACAAAUGUGUAAGUAACUAUGCACGUCUUGACGGUACCUAAUCAGAAAGCCACGGCUAACUACGUG